rnacentral:rRNA from 1 species
AUGAACGCUGGCGGCGUGCCUAAUACCUGCAAGUCGAGCGAACAGACGAGGAGCUUGCUCCUCUGACGUUAGCGGCGGACGGGUGAGUAACACGUGGAUAACCUACCUAUAAGACUGGGAUAACUUCGGGAAACCGGAGCUAAUACCGGAUAAUAUAUUGAACCGCAUGGUUCAAUAGUGAAAGACGGUUUUGCUGUCACUUAUAGAUGGAUCCGCGCCGCAUUAGCUAGUUGGUAAGGUAACGGCUUACCAAGGCAACGAUGCGUAGCCGACCUGAGAGGGGGAUCGGCCACACUGGAACUGAGACACGGUCCAGACUCCUACGGGAGGCAGCAGUAGGGAAUCUUCCGCAAUGGGCGAAAGCCUGACGGAGCAACGCCGCGUGAGUGAUGAAGGUCUUCGGAUCGUAAAACUCUGUUAUUAGGGAAGAACAAAUGUGUAAGUAACUAUGCACGUCUUGACGGUACCUAAUCAGAAAGCCACGGCUAACUACGUG